rnacentral:rRNA from 1 species
UACGAAGGGGGCUAGCGUUGCUCGGAAUCACUGGGCGUAAAGCGCACGUAGGCGGCUUUUUAAGUCAGGGGUGAAAUCCUGGAGCUCAACUCCAGAACUGCCUUUGAUACUGGGAGCUCGAGUCCGGGAGAGGUGAGUGGAACUCCUGGUGUAGCGGUGGAAUGCGCAGAUAUCAGGAAGAACACCAACGGCGAAGGCAGCUCGCUGGGACGGAACUGACGCUGAGGCGCGAAAGCGUGGGGAGCGAACAGG